AUGAAAUUGUGUUCGAAGUGUUAUGAACUUACAAAAAGUAGAAAAAAAUCUAGAAGAGGAAGGUAAAAAAAGAAAAAAAAGAAUCAAUGAAUCGAUAAAGAAUGAUUGUUAGAAUCAAAUUUCCCGUUUUCGAAUCGAAGAAGCCCAACAAGUAUUAACAUGAAAUCGUAGUUGAGAAUAAUGAUGAUGAAAAAGGAUUCGCCAAGACUAGUCAGCGUUCAAUU